GCGUAUUGGCCUGGCCCGGCUGGGAGCGAUGAUGACGAUUGUCAUUGCCGGCAUCACACCGGACACCGGCCAGUAUUAUUGACUGAAAUCACGGGCCACGUGGUUUUGGUGGGAGGGGCAUGGGUGACCACACUUCGUACUCACAUCUCCGAUCGGGGGGAUCUUCUUGAAGCUCCAGGUCUGAGUGGCAUUGUCGGGCAUGGCUCGGGAGCCGGGAAGGUCAAGGGGGAAGAUCUGGAGGCAGAAGUCCACAGUCAAGGUGUCAGGAGGGCCAAACUUCCUCCCAAGGCUCCAGGGAGGAAUCCAGUCCUUUCUCCAGCUGCUGGUGGCCGUGGAACUCUGCUCUCUGCCUACAUCUCCACAGCCUUUUCUGAGUCUUUCCCUCUUCUGAUAUGGAGGGAGCGCCCAGCACGUUCCAGGGCCAGUCACGGGGAGCUGAAACCAUCCCAGCAGAUUCAGUGCCCGCCCUCACGGAGCUGACCUUGCAGUGGGGGAGGCAGACCCAGCAAAACCAGAAACACAACUGCACGUUGCAGGGAGAGCUGCCAAGGGAACAAGGGAGAGGCAAGGCCAGUAAGGGUGGGGUGGGGUGGGCCAGCUCUAACCAGGGAGGGCAGGGAAGGCUUCUCAGAAGAUGGGGCCCGUAAGCUGGGCGCUGGAUGCUGAUAAGGACCUGGUUGGAACCUCCCCCUCUCUCCUUAACUGUGCGAUCUCGGCCGAGUUGCCUAAUCUCUCUGUGCCUCAGUUUCCUCUUAUGUAAAAUGUUGAUGGUGACAACACGUCCUUGGUGAGCCGUCCUGAGGACCGGGUGAGCGAGCCCAGGAAGAGCCCUCAGAAAGAACUUCAGGGUUCCUAGAACCUGCCCAGUGAGCGAUAGCUAAUCCUCAUAAUACAGUACUUAAAUGUUACCAUUAUUAGCACAUGAGCAGAGGGAUGCACCCACAUUUUGUCAAUCAUUUGAGGGAUAUUUAUUUUUAAGAAUGAAAAAGACAUCAAAGUAGGGAUCGUGUAACACUCUGAAACGCCUUGGGCUUCUUUACUCUUAUAACAGCUUCACUUUGGGUUUUGUCUGAAUGAGACUAGGAGGCAUGAGAUGUCAUAUUCUAUUCAGGGCUUGGGGAUAUAAAACCUUUGGAGAGGCUGGCCGAAGUGCCUGUGACUCCAGUCACUACUUUGGGCAGAGCAGGCUGAGUCCUUGUGAUUCAGCCCACGAUCCAGGGACGGACUCGGCCAGCAAGGCUCCGGGCUCCUACACCUUGUCGCCUCAGCAGAUUGUGGACCGAGGUCAGGCUAACCUUGUCCUGAGGCGAGACCCAGAGAAGGGACAGAGAAGCCCGGGGGAGCUGCUCUGGCCGGGGGCGCACGCGGGGAGAGCCCUGGGCCCAGGCUCCAGGCCUGCGGAUCCCCAGCUGGGCCUCCAGAAUCUGUCCCUCUAGGGGGCAGUAGGGCUCCACUGAGUGUCCCCAUCUCCGUCUCCCAGAGGCCAGGAAAUGCUCCUGCCUUAGGACCCGCCUCUGGCCUCUGUGUUCGGCACGAAGGGGAAUUUCUGCACAGACUUCGCCUUGGCUGGGCCCAGAGGUUGUAUCUUUUCACGCUCGGGUGUUGUGAGGCCAGGGGAGGGGGUGGGAUGCUCCUUAGGAAGUUCGUGUCACUGUAACACGAAUCUUUCUAAAAAUCAGAAGUCCAACAGCUGCAUGCACGUGGGGGACAUGUUGGGGUUCCAGGCCAGCAUAGGAAGGCCACCUCCUGUGGCCGGGGAAGGUAGGCAGGUUUCUAAGGCUAAACAUGUGCACGUGGACGGGCACCUGGGAGGCUCAGUCGGGUGAGUGUCCUACUCCCACUCAGGUCAUGAUCUCACGGUGUGUGAGUUCGAGCCCCUUUUUGGGCUGUGCCCUGACCACGUGGAGCCCGUUUGGGAUUCCCUCUCUCUCCCUCUCUCUCCGUCUCUCUCUGCCCCUCCCAUCCACUCUGUCUCUCAAAAUAAAUAAAUAAACUUAAAAAAAAUAUAUUCACAGGGCACCUGGGUGGCUCAGUGGAUUAAGUGUUCGACUUCGGCUCAGGCCAUGAUCUCAUGGUUUGUGAGUUCGAGCCCCGUGUCGGGCUCUGUGCUGACAGCUCAGAGCCUGGAGCUGCUUCGGAUUCCGUGUCUCCCUCUCUCUCUGCCCCUUCCCUGCUUACUCUCUGUCUGUCUCUCUCUCUCUCUCAAAAACAAAUAAAAACAUUAAAAAAA